GGUACGGCGACCAUAGCGGGGGGGCCACACCUGAACCCGUUCCGAUCUCAGAAGUUAAGCCCCCCUGCGUUGGAGGUGGUACUGCAACGUUAGUUGCGGGAAGCCUCCAACGUCGCCGGCCCA
rnacentral:rRNA from 1 species